AACAGACCUUUCCUGAACUGGACGAAAUUUUAUCCAAAAAAAUUCAAGUUUGGCGGAAAUAUAAUGAUAGCCCACUAGAGGAAAUUGUGGAGAAGUGGAAAACGACACAUCUAUAUAGAAAUAUUUAUCUCAUGAAUUCAUUGGAAAGAGGGGAAACGAUAUCCGCAUUUAUAAUCGAAUGGCCUUUGUACAAACAUUGUGUUCUUGGACCACAGCUGAUCAAUUGUGAUUUUGAUAUACUCUAUCCGAACAAAGGAACAAAUUUGCAUACAAAGUGGGAAGAUUUCGUGCCAUUAAUAUACAGCUAUUAUAAGAAAAAUAAAAGGACAAAGUUUCCCGAGAAAUUUUAAUUCAAUUGGAAAAUCAAAACCUCGCUGCAGGUACAAGAACAACUCGUCGUUUAAAAGGGUAACUAUUCAGGAAGGAGUGGACAGUUUUUUAGUCCAUGUAAACUCUGCAUCAAAUUUGGAGGAAACAUUGGCCGAAAUAAGGGAACGUUUUUCGCACAAAAAUAAUACUUUGCAACCCAUUAUAAUAGCUACUGGUUCUAGUAUUAACUCUUUAGAUAUUUUUUUUGUACAUAUAUC